rnacentral:miRNA from 1 species
GCAUGUAUUAGGUUGGUGCAAAAGUAAUCGCAGUUUUUGCCAUUGAAAGUAAUGGCAAAACCACAAUUACUUUUGCACCAACCUA